AUGUACAUAAAUAUAUAUAUUAUUUUAUUUUCAAAGCCUCUUGAACUCAGGGUUACCAUGACCAUGGACCCUUGACCAAAAGAAACAAUAAAAUAGAACACAAAUAGACCAAAUUUAAACAAAAAAAACCUUCACCAACCUACCAUCCUUUUAAAAUAUUUUUGGAGACACCCACCAGCACCCCCAACGGACGAGAACCUUUUUUCUCCAACUACUCUGGGGGCCCGGCUAUUCGACUCCCCCGCAGCGAGCGGACCCUAAGCAAUCAGGCCCGACCAUACACCAAGCAAGAAGAAGGGAGGAAAUGGUAGACCGGACUCCUUCGGGACCCCUCUGGGGCCUGUUGGCAGACCCAUCGGCUCAACCCUCCCAGCCCCCUUACACACGGGAGACUCACGUAACGCGCUGGACCACUAUCUACCCCAGAUUAGAUCUGGAUUGGCAGUAGGUUCAGUAGCGCGUGUUUCCUCCUAGCGGGUUGGGAUACCCAAAAGAGGGGCUUUUGGGUUAUGCGCUGCGGCUGGAGGAUCGCGUCUGCCGAAUAACCCCUGGGGUGCCCAGAUAAUGUCUGGCGAGGUAUCGGACCCCACAGAAGAAUUUCCCACUGGGGGACCCCCUACCCCGCCGUACUUAGCCUGGACAACCGAACCAUUUUUUUACCUGGACUACGAACCAAUUCACUGUCUAGGGAUGAUAUACCUCUGGAAACGUUACGAUCCUGGAAGGGAGUAAUUCCACUGGUCACUAUUACCCAAAACCACUGAAUUACCUACCACUGAGAUGGUGGGGAUGGAAACACCCAAUUAACUUCUACUACUGCCGGACGUUUCAUACGUAAGCCAGAGAAGGUUUGCCGGUUUCUAAACCCUCCAUACACCGACCAAAAACACAGGACGUGACUCCAGGGGCGGAUGCAUGACAACCGUAUAGAGGGCUCGCCUUCUGGGUUUUUGUCUGCUCAAACCACUGGCUGUUAUAGACUGACCACUUGACAGGGACACAUGGCAACCGACUGAGGUCCGGACCUGCACAAGGUACGCAACUCGAUGGUUUUGCCUGAUCCUACGCCAAGUAUACCCAUACAGACCAGCUGGAUUCGACUAGACAUGGGUUGAUUUGGAAUUAGGAUCCUGGAAGGGAAUAACUCCCAAUCAUACACAUGAUUGAAAACAUCCAGGACCAAAGACUGACGAACACUGAAGUGAAUACAUAGACAACAUGGAG
ensembl:lncRNA